CAGUAGCCGCGGUAAUACAGAGGGUGCGAGCGUUAAUCGGAUUUACUGGGCGUAAAGCGUGCGUAGGCGGCUUUUUAAGUCGGAUGUGAAAUCCCUGAGCUUAACUUAGGAAUUGCAUUCGAUACUGGGAAGCUAGAGUAUUGGAGAGGAUGGUAGAAUUCCAGGUGUAGCGGUGAAAUGCGUAGAGAUCUGGAGGAAUACCGAUGGCGAAGGCAGCCAUCUGGCCUAAUACUGACGCUGAGGUACGAAAGCAUGGGGAGCAAACAGGAUUAGAUACCCCCGUAGUCCCUGUCUCUUAUAC
rnacentral:rRNA from 1 species